rnacentral:tRNA from 1 species
UGGAAGUGUAGCAGAAUGGUGAUGCGGCAGACUUUUAAUCUGACAGGCGAUGGGUUCGAAUCCCUCCACUUCUACUAA